GACGAACGCUGGCGGCGUGCUUAACACAUGCAAGUCGAGCGGAGCGGCGAACGGGUGAGUAACGCGUGAGUAACUGCCCCCCUCUCUGGGAUAACAGUUGGAAACGGCUGCUAAUACCGGAUAGUGGGGGAUGACUCGCGUCCUAUCAGCUUGUUGGUGGGGUAGUGGCCUACCAAGGCGACGACGGGUAGCCGGCCUGAGAGGGCGACCGGCCACAGUGGGCUGAGAGACGGCCCAAACACCUACGGGAGGCAGCAGUGGGGAGUGUUGCAGAAAGGGGGAAUCCGUGAUGCAGCAACGCGCGGGCAGGAUGACGGCCUGCGGGUAGUAAACCGCUUUCAGCCAUGAAGCGGUAGUGGCAGAAGAAGCACAGGCUAAUUACGUGCCAGCAGCCGCGUUAAUA
rnacentral:rRNA from 1 species